rnacentral:rRNA from 1 species
AUUGAACGCUAGCGGGAUGCUUUACACAUGCAAGUCGAACGAGUGGCGGACGGGUGAGUAAUAUAUCUGAACCUGCCCAGUAGCGGGGGAUAACUACUGGAAAGAGUGGCUAAUACCGCAUACUAUUGUAUCGGCCGAUAUGGGAUUAGCUAGUUGGUGGGGUAAAGGCUCACCCAGGCAACGAUCCGUAGCUGGUUUGAGAGGAAGACCAGCCACACUGGGACUGAGACACGGCCCAGACUCCUACGGGAGGCAGCAGUGGGGAAUAUUGGACAAUGGGGGAAACCCUGAUGCAGCCAUCCCGCGUGUAUGAGAAGGCCUUCGGGUUGUAAAGUACUUUUGGCAGAGAAGCGGUAUCUGCAGAAUAAGCACCGGCUAACUACGUGCCAGCAGCCGCGGUAAUAC